rnacentral:rRNA from 1 species
CCUACGGGAGGCAGCAGUGAGGAAUAUUGGACAAUGGGCGCAAGCCUGAUCCAGCCAUGCCGCGUGCAGGAAGACGCAUCUAUGGUGUGUAAACUGCUUUUGUACGGGAAGAAACACUCCUUCGUGAAGGAGCUUGACGGUACCGUAAGAAUAAGGAUCGGCUAACUCCGUGCCAGCAGCCGCGGUAAUACGGAGGAUCCAAGCGUUAUCCGGAAUCAUUGGGUUUAAAGGGUCCGUAGGCGGUUUAAUAAGUCAGUGGUGAAAUCUGGUCGCUCAACGAUCAAACGGCCAUUGAUACUGUUAGACUUGAAUUACUAGGAAGUAACUAGAAUAUGUAGUGUAGCGGUGAAAUGCUUAGAUAUUACAUGGAAUACCAAUUGCGAAGGCAGGUUACUACUAGUGGAUUGACGCUGAUGGACGAAAGCGUGGGGAGCGAACAGGAUUAGAUACCCUGGUAGUCCACGCCGUAAACGAUGGAUACUAGCUGUUGGGCGCAAGUUCAGUGGCUAAGCGAAAGUGAUAAGUAUCCACCUGGGGAGUAACGUUCGCAAGAAUGAAACUUNAAAUUGAAUUGACGG